rnacentral:lncRNA from 1 species
UGGGCCUUUCUUUCGUAUUUCCUGAUAACCCCAUGCAGAAAUAGACAAACACCAAAACUCGUGGAAUUCUGUCAGAUAAAAUCCUAAGUCUAGGUGUUGGUUGCAUUUGGAUCCUUUUCUAUGAUUAGUUGACGGUUAAAUGUGAGCUUUAAGGACCGUCAACAAGCUCCCCCAAGCUUAACCUUUGCUCGUCCCUGAGCAAAGAUGGACUCAAGAGUUUCUGCAGUGGUUUCAUGCCUUAAAGAUAUACAUGCGUUCAAACAAGAUCUCUUCUCUAGGUUAGGGUAACUGUUAAGAUUUAAACUUACUCAUAUUACCUUCCACCAUGGGGUUUGUAACCGUCACUUCUGUCUUGAGUAGUUAAAAGAUAGAACGGUCUAGUCAAGCGCCAUGUCUCUUGUUCUUUGAUUAACUAUAGCUCUGGAGUUUUUUUUGCAGAUUUUCAAAUAAAACUCAGAGAUUCCUUGUAUAACUCUCUCUAGUCUCUCUUUUGUGGUAUUUCUGGAUCCUUACCAAGGCAGUGAUGGUAUAUGCCUUCUCUCAAAGUAUGUGGUAUUUUUGGUAUGAGGCAUAGUGACAUUGCCUUUUCUCUCACCCUACUCUAAUAAGGCUUUUGAUAUCUGGAGCUCAUAGGUGGGAGACAACUAUACAUACUUACAAGACAUUUAUUGCAUAGUCAAACCAUGGAUCCAGAGAAACAAGUCAAUAAGUCAAAUCAAGAUGUGCAUGUGUGGCGAAUGAAUGGUGCAUGGUAAUGAUGGUGAUAACAAUGGUGAAAAUCUAAUUCUACUUUUGCUCUUUUGAGGGGAUACAUACCUUCCUUGCUCUUUUGAAACUUUUGGGGAGAAUAAGAUGCUCUGUAUUUUCUUUUUCUUUCCUCUCAGGUGGGUAUCUUGUACCCCUAAUUCUACUAUUGGACACUUGUCCAUUUUUACCUCUCGUCUCACUUUUUCUUUUCUUUCGAGGUUCCGGGCACUUGCCCCUUUUUAUUUCCUCGUAUACUUUUUUCUUUUUUUUCUUUUUUUUAGAGCACUCAUCUCAUGAGAUAAUAUAGCAAGUGGUAGUAACAAGAUAACUUGAGCAUUUAUUUCACAGGGGAAAAACAUGAAUAUUUUUGGCUAUUCUCUCCCGGAUUAGGAGUAGAAUAUUUUUGGGUGGUUCUGGAGAUGGAAAUGGUUGGAUAUAUGUGGAUGCAUACUUCCGGAGUAGAAGCAGCAUGUGUAAGUGAACGUGCAAGUGAAUCUUGAUUUAACCGCAUGACAAGCUCCUAAGGGUCUACACAGCUUGACCACACUCAAUGCUCAUAAGUAGUAAAGUAAAUGUGUGGUUCAUAGUCUAGCAAGCAUGUAUAUAUGGCUAUGGUAGGAAUUUAAACUCUCAUCAUACAGGAACUCAUCAUGCAACAUUUUAAUGAUCUUCAAACAUAAAAUUCUCCAGAAUUCUAGCAUCUCUAGGAACAGAUAAACAGCAGCUCAACCUUCCCAUAUCAUAUCCGUUAACAACUUAGACUUUAGAUCAAGUACUCUCCCCACAAGUUCAGGUUUAGAGCAAAUCUUAAUUAAUAACAGUCAUGCCUAAACUUGAGAGAGAUUUCAAUUUUUAGAACUAAUCAUAGCAGAGCAACUAUUCAUCAUUUCCAUGUGAGAGCUUAUCAUGAGGGUUCAUAGCAAACUUUAUUUAUUUAUUUAUUAAGCAAACUAAGCAAAGAUAUAUAUAUAAGCACAAAAUCUUUAUUUGGGUUUUUAUGAUUAUGCAUCUUUUUAUUAUUUAAGUAAAAUAUAAACGUGAGUAGAACAUUAGCUAGAUAAAUGGGGGUGCUCUCCCACAAGCUGGAUUUUGACGUAAUUUCUUUUGAUGUAGCUAGCAGGUGAUGGAGGUGUAUUUGAAUGUCGGAAUCACUCUGACAGCGAUUAGGAUGUCCUCCGUCUGCUAGUCUUCUUUGAUCCUUGAAUUCUGUGGAGCUCAAAUAGACAACAAAGCUUUGUGGAACUAGUUAAGUGUUAGCAUAAAUAUCUAGCCUUUAUCAUGUUGAGCCUCCUCAAUAAAUGUUACUCUUUUUAGUAGGAUCAUAAAUCUUUUUAUAGGACAGGAAUAUAUUUAUUUUAUUUUUACACCACCACAGUGAAUGUACUUAUGGGUUUUAUGCCAUGAGCAUACUCACAUGGGGCUUACUAUUUUUAACAUUUUUAUUUUCUUUUCAAGAUGAUAUGAACCUGAUUAACUAAGCAAACUAUUUUAAAAUAAUUAAAAGGAAAAAGAUAACUACCAAGUUUACCUCUUGGCAAGGCGUUCAGUGUUUUUAAGUCCUCCGAACGGGACUCUCCGUUUCCUCAGUCGUCCUGGGAUUCGCUGGAUGGCGUAGUCGGUGGUUCCGGCGGCGCGUGCUCUUCGUGUAUCACUAUCUUCUCUCUCCACACCUGACUCGGUGCUACGGUCUCCUCAGGAUAGUUCUGUUCAAGCUGUAUGUCUUCAGACCUUACUACUUCUCCUUCAUAGUCUGCCCAUCCGUCCUUGAUGAUUUGCCUCCUCUGGUUGCGGUUGCGUUGUCUUCUUCUUGUCCUGACCUGAUUAGAGUCUUCAACUAUAUAGUUAAGGUCAGUAAAAUAACGGCGUACCUUCUUAGAGGGGAAGUGCAUGUGGACUUCUCAGGUCCAAUCUAGAUGAUUGCUUUAACGGUGCUGAGGAACAAUCUCCCAAGGACGAUGGGUGGAUCGUACUCGUCUUCUCCCAUAUCAAUAACCUGAAAAUCUUUCGGAAUGUCUCAUCUGCCAUCUGGAGCUGAAUGUAUGUCGGUUUUAGGGGCAUGGUUCCGAACAGGAGUUGAUAGGUGACUACGGCCAUUAUGUUGACACCUGACCCGAUGUCGCAAAGCAUCUUCUGGAAGUUGUAUCCAUUAAUGGAGCACUAGAUGCUUGGCAUACUUGGGUCGUCCUUUUUGGUCAGGAACGGUGACUUAAGUCGACGAUCUUGACCUCCUUGAACUGUAGUGACCAUCUUAGCUGACUCGGUCCAUAUUUGCUUGUUCCUGUUCCUCCUGUUGGUCCUCUUCCUUGGUUCAUGUCGGGAUUGCUCUAAGAUCUGUGUAGUCUUGUUCUUGAAGGAAAACAUCUCCUUCCUCCCCUUGAUGUAGAAACUGAUCUUGGCAGCACUAGCGUAGAUGACAGCUCCCAAGGUGUUCAGGAAUGGCCUCCGUUGAUUUCAACCUUGAUUUUAUUGAGGACGGUUGUAGUAGUUGUUGUUGUUUAUGUAGUUUAUUUACAUCCUCAAGCAUCUCAGGGCAGUGAUUGCCUGAUUGUCCAGUAUCUCCAUUGUGUUUGUGCUCGUAGAUCCAGGUUCUUCACUUGGUGGAGUCUGGGAGUUGUAAAACUCCUUCAUAUUUUGCUCGAAGUGUAUCUUCUCAUAGAGACAAAGCAGAGAUCAAGUGCAUGGGCCCUGUUGGUGGAAAACACCAACAGAACCAAAAGUGUAUUUGUUCUUCUCAAUCCUUAAGCAUAGUGAACAAGACAAAGUUGAUGGAUAAAAAGAUCAUGAGUGUAGCAUUUAAAACAUUUGUCAGAUUAGAUCGCUCAAUCUAAUGGAAAGAUAAUCUAUCUAUAUUUAUGUUGUUUUUUUAUAUAUCUUCCAAAGAUUGAGUGUGCAACAUUUUAGCUCAUAUGAUUAGGAGUGUGGGAUCACAAAGGUGGAAGGACUAAACGUAUUGAAUCGAUUGGGUUGGUUAAUCUAGAGUUGUAAAUCAUACAUGUUUGUCUCUUUUAUUCAUGUGAACGCUAGAACCAAGGAGAAACUUAUAAAAGUGAUAGACAAGUACCUUAAGAUGUUACCUUACUUGAAGAGUGAUGGUACAGUAUCACCUUGUGGAAGCUUUCCUUUCUUAGCGGUUGUGCAUCAUGUUUGUAGCACCCUCCAUGGAUCAUCUCUUGUGAGCUAUGCCUUCCUUGUGUAAAUUGUUAAACUUUAUGUGUCUCUCUCUUUGUCUCCAAUGUGAGUUUAUCCCAGGACUUCCCAGGUCAAUAUUGAAAGUUUUCCUACAGGGGUUAGUCCAACAAAAUAUCCAAUAUCUACUAUAGCAUACUAUCGGCUCAAAAAUCGACCUAGACACCAUGUCUAAUUUGAUUCAGGAGGGCAUUUUAACCUAAGCAUCAUGCUUAAUUUAAACUCCCUUGGAAGUAAGAUCAUCAUUCCUAAACUAAGCACCAUACUUAAUUAAGAGAUAAAUGAAACUACUCCAAACCUAGACAUAUACUAAAGCAAAUAAAGGUAGCAUGAGAGCAUUUUUAGAGAUCUACUCAAGUAGAGAUGAAGUAGUGUGAUUAGUAUUUAACAAAUUGAGCAUGUCUCAAAGGUAGGGACAACCAACAUAGCAACAUGGCAAAGGAUGUUUUUAUGUAAAGUACUCCCCCAAGCUUGAAUUUUGCAAAAUUCAAGUUUGGAUGAAUUUAAUUCAAUGUUGUAUGAUGAUUGGUUGGACAUACCUUGUGCUUGUCAUUCAUUCGAUCUUCUUGCUCCAAUCCUGGAAAGGUUAGUGACAAGAAUACCCGAAGGAUUUUUUUUUACAAUUAUCCUUAUAUGCUGAAUACACAAGGUAAUGUUGCAAAUAAUUAAAAGUUCAUGUUAUGAUCUGAUCAGUGCUUAUUUUAGGACACUAAGCUUGUAUUUGGGAAACCAUCAAUUUAUGUCGGCGAAGUGGUUUCCCCUCCAACGCUAACCUAUAUCAAGAUCAACUCAACGAGAUCUGCAAUAUUUAAUAUAAACAUAUGCAUCGACAACCGCCCUUUUAAAGUUUUUAUAAAUAGAAAGGAUGAGGGGGUGGAGAUCUCGAAUGUGGUGAUGUUGGAGAGACCAAUGGAUUGUGAAGAUGUUGCAUAAAUUCCAUGCUCAUUAAUGCUUAGAGUGAAAUCCAUGUGGUAUGGUGAAAAUGGUAAGGUGAGUGUGGUAAAAAAGGAAAAGAAAAAGGAUACACGGACGACUUGGUUCGAAACUAGCACAGCUACCGUUCCCCGGCAACGGCGCCAGAAAGCUUGUUGGGUAUUUUAAACGCAAACAGAAAAAUCCGCAAGCGCACGGAUACCGAUGUAGCCUUCACCCGGGAGUAUUCCAGAGUAUCGAUUUUCCACAGGGAACGUGAGUGUACUAAUUAAGAUCAAAGAUCGCCCAAGGAUAACUAUAUAAUUAUUUUUGGUGGGAAGAGAGGAAGUUUCCUGAGAGUUCUCUACUUGAUCUAAGCAUCAAGAAUUACUUCAAGAUUAUCUAUAUCGGGACAUCAGAGUACUAACCACAGAAAGAAAUGAGAAGGGGGCUAGGAAGGUCUGACUACGGUCCUACAAACACCGAUCCGAACGAGGUGGAAUACGUCGACCGUUAGGGCUGUCACUACCCUAGGGCUACCACAACAAUCCGCAGGAUUGGGUGCAAUUCCAGGUAAUCGUAAGACUAAACACCACGUCUAAUCUAUUAAUUACUACUCUAGCGUUAUAAAGACUAGAGCACUUGAUGCAAGCGGGAAUCCAAUAAAUAACUUGAAUGUAAAUAAAAGUAAUUAAAGAACUCAGGAAUUAUGAAUUGAAGAACCUGGAGAACGAUGAAGAACGAACCAGAUGCUGCAAAAGUAUAAUGUUGAGGAAGAUCCGACAGAUCCGGCUCCUCCUCCGCUCUCCUCUUCUCUCUCCCUAUUUUCUAGAUUACAACUAGAACUAAUUAGAACUAGAACUAGAGGAACUAGAACUAGAUGAACUAGAGCUAGAUCUAGAUGAACGAGAGGUAGAACUAGAAGAACUAGAGGGAUCCUCUCUACUUGGUUGAAGAAUUGAAACCCUAGCUUUGAUUCUGUAGAAGAGGUAUGAUCUCCAGGGGCCAGAGGGUCUGGUUUUAUAGUCCCUUCAAGUGUAUAUGGGCCGUUGGAUCAAACCGACAUUGAUUGAACGGUUAUCCUUGAUCCUUUAGGUCGGUGGAGCAAUAUCCCCAAAUUGGACUCUGUUUGGUGGAAAAAGGUGGGCGGGCGCCCUCAGGACUAGGGCGGGCGCCCUGUCCCUGAGGCCUCUUGGCUUCCGCUUUGUUCCCGUGGCUUCUGGAGUCUUCUAGAUGAUAGAAAAUUGCACGGCACGUUAAUAUCUCUAUGUAAACCCGAGGUGUGGGCCUUUCUUCCGUAUUUCCUGAUAACCCCCUGCAGAAAUAGACAAACACCAAAACUCGUGGAAUUCUGUCAGAUAAAAUCCUAAGUCUAGGUGUUGGUUCCAUUUGGAUCCUUUUCUAUGAUUAGUUGACGGUUAAAUGUGAGCUUUAAGGACCGUCAAAACUCUGUCUCCAAAUAGACCAAAGUGAGAUUCCAUAUGACACAUAUCAUCUAAGAGUUCUAUUGCGAUGCAUCCAAAUAGAUUUCUUAGCAUAUGGUAUGUUCCAUGAAAACCGUGCACCUAUCUUUCAUCAAGAUUAGCACUAUCUCCAAAUAGAUCGAACCGACCUUCCACUUGAGCCUCUUCACCUAUGAGUAUUAUUGGGUGCUUCCAUAAUGGUUUCCGAGCCUAUGGUGCAUUAUGCGCAAACCAUGCACCAAUCUUGCACCUAAAUUGUCUCCAAACGGAUUGAAGCAAGAUUCCAUAUGACACACAUGAUCUAGGAGUUCUAUCGGGUGCGUCAAAAUUGAUUUCCGAGAAUAUGAUAUGUUCCAUGCAAACCAUACACCUAUCUUGCAUCAAGAUUAGCACUAUCUCCAAAGAGACCGAACGAGGCUUUCACUUGAGCCUCUUCACCUAGGAGUACCAUCGGGAACUUCCACAACAAAUUUUGAGCCUAUGGUGCAGUGGGCACAAACCAUGCACCUAUCUUGCACCGAAACUAAUACUAUCUCCAACUGGACUGAAGCGAGAUUCCAUAUGAUACACUUCAUCUUGUAGUUCCAUCGGGUGCAUCUACAGUUCCAUCGGGUGUGUCCAAAUUGAUUUCUGAGCAUAUGGUAUGUUCCAUGCAAACCGUGCACCUAUCUUGCAUCAAGAUUGGAACUAUCUCUAAACAGACAGAACCAAGGUUCCACAUGAGCCUCUUCACCAAGGAGUACCAACGCGUGCAUCCAAAAUAGUUUAUUAGCCUAUGGUGCAUUAGGUUGAAACCGUGUACCUAUCUUGCACCGAAACUAACACUAUCUCCAAAGAGACCGAAGUGAGAUUCUAUAUGUAACACAUCAUCUAGGAGUUCUAUUGGGUGCUUCCAAAUAUAUUUCUAAGCAUAUGGUACGUUCGAUGCAAUUCGUGCACCUAUCUUGUAUCAAGAUUAGCACUAUCUCCAAACAAAGCAAACUGAGCUUCCACUUGAGCCCCUUUACCCAGAAGUAUCAUCGGGUGCAUCCAAAAUGGUUUCUUAGCCUAUGAUGCAUUAGGCGCAAACUGUGUACCUAUCUUGCACCAAAACUAACUCUGUCUCCAAAUAGACCAAAGCGAGAUUCCAUAUGACAAAUGUCAUCUAGGAGUUCUAUUGCGAUGCAUCCAAAUAGAUUUCUUAGCAUAUGGUAUGUUCCAUGAAAACCGUUGUCGGUGUUUUCCCCACGGGGGGUCACACCAACGAAUAAAUUUGUGUGCGUGCUCCCUUUCCCAGAUGGUGAUGCAAGAAGACACAGAGAUUUAUCCUGGUUCGGGCAAGAGAAGGUCCUACGUCCAGCGGGAGAGGGAGGUUUGUAUUAUCUUGCACCUAAGUGCUUGUACAGGGGUGAAUACAAGUGUGGUGUGGAGUAUGGGAGUUCUACUGCGUAUGGGUGAAGUGUUGCCUGAUGAUCCUCUUCUCUAUUCCCGGGUCUCCCCUUUUAUAGCUCCAAGGAGAGACCCAGGGUACAUGUAUAGGUGUCAGAGUAGGGGUCGACAAGAGCGUGGAGCGCUGACCUACUUGAGGCCUCCGUACCGGUAUGGCCUCGAGCCGUCCCGUCUUGGUAGCCUGGUGAUGAUUACGUGUGCCCCUGUAUCCCGCUCUGCGCGCCGUCUCGAGCUGGUUUACCAGUCGCACGCUUGUACUGCAUGGUGGCUGAUCCGGCGGAGUGGUUGCGGUGUUGUCAGUCGACGCCCGACUCGUCUCUAGGAAGGAACCAUGUCCGGUCGAGGGUCGGACGCCACGCAAUGUCCUGAUAUCCGGAGCGCUGACCUUGGUUGUCUCGAGGGGGUCCCGAUUGGACGUUCUGUCCCUGCUUCCCGCGUCUUGACACGCCCUGGGUCGUUUGGUGGGGAAGGCUGCAACAAGAACGACGGGACGGGUGCCUGUUCCCUAUCACGCUUCCCGUGAUUAGCGCGUUAGGUGGAAAAGCGACAGGCGCAUUAAAUGCCCUGGCUCUCGUGCGCGUGUCAAGCGGCGGGCGGCGUCCUUGCGCUCGAUGCCUCCGGGUUCGCGCGAGCCCGCUUCCGUACUCGACGGUAGCUAGCGCUCGACCCUUGAUUGAUUCGCCCGAUGCCAUUUCCGUCUUUGAGGCUGCGGCCUUCGAUUGCUGCGCAUAUGUGUGACCAAAGCGUCAAGUUGAGGGCCUCGACUUGCGUACGGAUAAUCUCGUUAGGUGCAUCGGUGAGGGUACCCCUUACUGAUACCCUCGACAGUAGCCCCCGAGUCUCCAUUUGAGCGCUGGCGCUCGAGUGGAGGCUUUGUUUUUGCGAUCGAACUUCCGUGGGGGCGCGCGAGCGACCCCGCGGGGGUAGCCCCCGAGCCCUUGAAGGAGUUUUUGACUCCUUCGAGGGUUAUUUUGCCUAAUUUGCAGAAAUGCUAUCGACACCAGUGGUGGAAGGUUCUAAUUGGCUUGCUUUGCGCGGAGGUUUCGAUGUACUCUCGAUAGAGCGAGCGUCUUCCACCUCAGAUUGAGUUCCUAGCGGGUAGUCCAAGUGAGAACCUAUGCCCCUUUCAAGGGGGUCAGCUGUAGCCCGGAGGCGUUCUCAUAAAGCAGGGUCGUCGUGGUCGGGGAUACCGGUCUCAUUUGAUAGAGUCGAGCGGCUCGAUGCCUCCCGUCGGGGGGAUUCCUCUCGACUGUCUCGACCCUACCUUGGACAUCCCCAGCGAGUCUUCGAGGCAGGCCUCGAUCUUCGACCGCUCGCUGGGGAUCCCUGACUCCGGUGUUCGAGAUCGGCUAUCGAACCCUUUCGGUGGGCCAGCCUGCGACCUCUCGAGGCUUUCGCGGGUACGCCCCUUGGCUUACAAGGGAAGGAAGUGGCCGCGGCGGUUCGCCUUUUUGCCCGUUGGGCGCGCCUUUUUAGGCGGAUGACGUUACGACACUGCGUCGGCGUGGAAUUCGGAGUGCCCCGCCUGUGAAGGGGGAGAGACUGUUAGGUGGCGCAUUUAUGGGGGGGCGUUACCUCAUUUCUCGGAUCCGUCCGUUGGCGGAUCGUUGCCUAUAAAUACGCCGUGGCACCGCCGCCGCUCUUCCUUCUUCCUUCCGCCUCCUUGCCUUCAUCCUUUCGUCGCCUUAGUUCUCUUGCUGUCUUACUCACGCGCGCGCGCCCUCGAGCAGUAGCGAAUCCACCGUCCUUUCAGCCAGGAUGCCAGUGACACUCAUCGCCGCCGACGACUGGCGCCCAUCGUCGAUGACGGAGCGCCGGCUGCUAGAGCUCGAGAGUGAGGGACUCUUGCGUCGCCGCACCUCGCUGUCGUCGCCAGAGUGGAUCGCGCCGCCAGCGGGCCACAGGGAGCCCCAGCCGCCCGAGGGCUAUGUGGUGUCGUUUGCCAAGUUCCACCGCCACGGCCUAGGCGCUCCCCCGAGCCGCUUCAUGCGGGCACUCUGCUACCACUACAGGGUGGAGCUCCAGCAUUUUUCCCCGAACGCCAUCACUGUCGCGGCGGUCAUCGCCGCGGUGUGUGAGGGCUACCUGGGGAUGAUGCCCCACUGGGAGCUGUGGCUCCAUCUCUACAGGGGCGAGCUUUUCAACACCCCCACCGGAACUACCGGCGUAAGGAAGCACGUGCGGGCCGGGUGCCUCAACCUGGUGCUGAAGACGAAGAAGACGGAGAGGCCGCGCGAGUAUAUCCCGGUGGGGCUGUCGUCGAACCACGCUGGGUGGGACUCCCAGUGGUUCUACUUGAGGAACGACGACGGUCUCUUCCCGGCUUACACGGGCCGUCUGAUUACAGAGCGCCCGGACAACUGGACAUACGGCGUCGUCCAAGAGCACCAGUCGCGGCUCGACCCCCUCCUCGAUGCCAUGAAGAAGCUGCGCCUGGAGGGCCUGUCCACCGCUCUCGUCCUCUCAGCCGUCCAUCGUCGAAGGGUCCUCCCUCUGAUGUCUCGGCCGUUGAGGAUGGAUGAGAUGGGGCCGGGCGUCUCGUCCCGGGAUCUCGAGGCUUGCCGGAUGUCCAACGUGGCUCUUACGGACGAUGAGAUCGCCGCCUGGGUUAGGGCGGCCAUCGCCGGUGACUUUAAGUCGAAGCACGUCAACGGCUUCCCUAUGAGGCCCGACGAAGGCUCGGUCGAUCUGGUAUGUUUUCUUCUUCGCGCGCAACCUUGAUUCUGGGUUCCUUUUCCUCCUUUUUUUUAAAUCCACCUUUAUUUUGGCAGGGGCGGAUCGACGUCCGGUCCUCGAGGCCUCCGGUAAGGGAGGACGAGGUUGAUCGCGACGCGCGGCGCCGGUCCACCGAGAAAUCGAAGUCCGCCAAGGACUCUAAAAAGAAGGGGGAGAAAAAGAAAAACCUCGACCGCCAAGCCUUAGAGGCACGUCGGUCCAAAUCCAGGCAGAGAGGAGAGCCUGAGGAAGAGUCCCCCAGCGACGAAGAUGACGAGGAUAGUGAUGACUCCGAGGGGAUGGCAUCUCGUCUUGACCAGAUUCUCGAGGGUCCACCUCGAGGCGGUGUCGAUGCUCCCCGGACAGAAGCUCCGACGGGGGGUCCAGGCGGAUCCCACCGCCCUCGCGCCGUCACCCCUCCUGCGCCUGCGGCUGGUCAGGUCGCCCCGCGCCCUCCUCCCGUGCCCAAGACAGGUGGCCACGCUAGGUCCCAGGCAACGGGGCCGUUAACCCGCGGUCGCGCCGCGGCCUCCGAGAAGGGCGAGUCUGUCCGCAGGAGCGCCAGUCCCGGUGUCCGUCAAGCGGAGGCUACCGGGCCAAGGCCGGCGCCUGUCUUCGAGGGGUCCGGGACGUCGACGCGGGGUGGCUCGAGGCCCACCGGUCGGGGUACUGGUAGACGAGCUGUUCUUCCUGUGGGGUAAGCUUUUCGAAGUUGUGACUUUUGUUUUCCCAUUCCCUCGCGUUUCCUUGUAUUCUGGUCUUUUCAUGCUCGUUCCCCACUUUUUAGGCUAAAGCGGACGCUCGAGCAGGACCAGCCCUCAAUGGCGAAGAGGCUCAAGGCUGGAGCAGCCUCCAAGGGGCAAGGUUUGUAGUUUGUUCCUGGGUCUUGCGACGUUCUUAUGUUGGUUAUUACAGUGACCGACCUUUAUUCUUUAUUUCGCAGGCUCCUCCGACUCUCAACCUCCGGACGACGCUGGGAGUGCUCCGUCUUGUCCCGAGCCUACUCCGAUGCCGCCGACGCGUGACGAGGCGCCCCAAACUCAGGGGCAAGAAGGAGCCCCCGAGCCUCCCCGAUUGGGGGACGAGGCGGACCCAUCACCAUCAGCGACACGUCUGGUGGUAACGAGGCGUCUGGGGACGCCCACCCUAUGGAGGAGGAGGCGUCGACCUCUCUCAUCUCGGGACGGACUCCCUGGCCCGCUGGCCUUCAAGCCCUCGAGGACCAGAAGGAGAAAGAGGAGGAGGAGCGGGAGCAGGAGCACGAGGCGACGCGACAGCCACAGGAGCAGCAGCAGCAACAGCAACAUCAGCAGGAGGAUCAGCAGCAGCAGGAGCAGCAAACGCUCGAGGGGCAGCGACAGCAGCAGCAACAGGGGGGCCAAGAGGAAGGACCGCACGAGCCCCCGCCUCAAGGUCUGGCCCAACCAGUACCACCAGCGCCGCAAGAGCCCGGCGAGUAGGAGGAAGAUUUGCCGGUGUACGGCCCUCCAACCCCGGCGUGGCUCCUUCCGGGGGCGCCCGCCGCGAUCCGGGCGAGCGGAUGGCGUGGUGGCACUUGCCUGCAUGAUGCGCACCCCCACCGACCCCGAGUCCGAGAUCAAGAGGACGAUCUACGGCAUGGACGGGAUCGCCCCAGGGUUCGUCCGGGAGCGUCGAGCGUGGGAGGACCGCUUUCCCUCUGAGGAGGAUGAGAUCGGGUCGUCGGGGAGUAAGGACGGUACCUGGAAGACGGUGGACGACGACGGGCGGUUCCCAUGCCUCAUCGACCUGUUCUUGCGCCACGGGGGCUCCCUCGAGACCGUUGAGAACCUUAUCCGUGGCGUCAAGGCACGGGCUGAUCGAGAGAUGGAGAACUGGUGCCCCGACCGGAUUCGUAUCCGGGCUUCCACCGAUCCGUCCGAGCCCAACAUCUUCCUCGACGAUAAGAAGGAGGCCGAGAAGUGGGAGCAUGUCGAGGAGCUCCGCCUUUGGAUGAAGCACGUGGUGGGGCUCCUGUCGGACAUUAUCAACAACGGGCUCGGGCCGGCUUAUUUUGUAAGUGCCUUUCGAUCUUUUACCCUCAUGGGGCCUUUUGGUUUUGCACUCUAACUGUUCGACCGCCGGCUCGCAAGAUAUGAAAGUGACGUCCCGCAUCAAGUCGAGCUUCAUCCACGCCACAAGAGGCGGCUGGGAGCAGCUCCCCAUCCUCAAGGACCAACUCCUCAAGUCGCAAGAGAAGCUCCUUCAGGCCUACAAAGAUCUCAUAGCGCUCGAGGAGGAGAAGAAGGCGAGGGAGGCUGCCUUGGUCGAGGCUCGAGAGGCCUCAAGGAAGGUGGAGGAAGAGACGACGCUGCUGCGGGAGCGGGCUCUGACGGUCGAGGAGGCCGCGUCCAGAGCCCAGGAGGAGGCCCUGUCCUACAAGAGCGUCAUUGCAGACCUGGACAAGGAGAACGGCCUUCUCAAGACCGACCUGGACUCCCUCCGGGAGUCCUUCCAAAAGAUGAAGGUGGAGCACGUGAACGGCGAGAUCGCCAGGAGCGCCGCGGAGGAAGCCAAGAAGGAGGCCCUCGAAGAUCUCGAGGCGGAGCGGGCUCAAUCCUGCAGGCUCUCUGACGACGUCGAACGUCUGAAGGGAGAGCUGUUGGAGAAGAGCGGGGCCAUUGCUCAGGCUGGCAAGGCGAUCGAGGAUCUCCGCGUCGCCAAUACUGAGCUGGUACGCUCCAACAGAGAGAUUGAGAGGGCCAACACCAGACUGGUCGGCGAGAACACGGCCCUGGAGGAGAGCGUCUGUGGUACGUUUCCUUUGUCAGAUUUAUUUUUUGAGGUGUGCUUGGUUUUUCCUAAAGUUUCAUGUAUUGGCAUUUACAGGGCUUAAGGACGAACUCCUAGCUGCCCAAGUCGAGGCCCGUAAUGCUAAGGCCCAGCUCGAGGUGGAGGUUGCUUUGAACCGUCGCGUGCGGACGGCGAUAAGCGACCUCUCGACCUCUUGGGAGGUCGAGCCUAUGGAUGAGUCAAGGGAGGACGCUCGAGGCGACGCACUGGUUGACCAGCUGUGCUACAUAGGCGCGACGCUGCGAGAUCGGGUGCGGGAUGCCCUCCACAUCGGGGUGAAGCGGGCGAUGGCGGUUGUCUGCUCCGGCUUCUCCUACGACAUGGAGGUGGUGUCCCAUGGCUUUGUCACCGACAUCUCUAAGACCGACGCGGAGAACGAAGAGAGGCUCCACGCCUUGAUCGACGACGCGGAGGCUCCUAGAGAGAGGCUGGCCAAGAUAUUUGAGCCUGAGGUGCUUCCUCCCGAGACUAGCUCGGGUGGAGGCGAGGGGGGUGAGGAUCGUGCCGUGGACUAAGGCCUGCGAGCCUGCUUUGGGUGCCUGGGGCCCCUUGUACAGUACUCUCAUUAACUUGUUUUUUAAGUGAUACAAUGUCUUUAAAUAUUUGUUAAAUGUUUAUCUGUCUUUCCGUUCGAGGCUUUUUGUUUCCCUUUGCUCCUAUGUUUGUAUUCCUUGUUCGACCUUUCGUCAAAAACAGCCUCGAUCACCUCAAGGGUGGGGAAAUGAGUAGAGUUUCCCUAGCCCGGGGGCGUAGGAGUUCUGGAGCUCGUUGUCCCUCGGCCCUUAAGGGGCUCGAGGUGCCUCAACUACUCGAACAUGCAAGGUUUACUAAGUAAGGAAGAGAGAAAUUUUUUGGCUUUUUUCGACACUUGGGGGGGUUGCCCCCCUGGUAGCCCCCGAGGGGGUGUUGACUAUGAUGGGUCGUAGUCGGCGCCCCCUUCUAACAUCGAGAUUAUGACUUGUAAAGCCUUGGUAUAAAAAGAAGUUGCUCGAGGGAAAGACUUCAUUUAUUCAUGCAUUUAUUUACAAAGUCUCGGUACAAAAUACACGCAGGAACAUAAAGCUUUGAACUUCUAGGGGUAGAAUCGACGUAGCUGUCCGAUGUUCCACGCGUUAGUGAAGACCGCCUCCUUCUCGUCCGCUAACUUGUACUUUCCUGGCUUCAAGACCUCGGCCACCACGUACGGGCCUUCCCAAGGCGGAGUCAGCUUGUGGCAUCCUUGAUUGCUUUGUCGUCGUCGCAGGACAAGGUCGCCCACGUUCAAGUCUCUCUUUCGUACGUGUUUGUCAUGGUAGCGUUGAAGCUUCUGCUGGUAUCUAGCAGAGUUGAGGAGGGCCAUGUCUCGAGCCUCCUCAAGCUGGUCGACCGCAUUCUCUUGAGUUUCCUUGUUUGUCUGCUCGUUGUACGCCUUGAGUCGAGGGGACCCAUACUCGAGGUCUGUGGGGAGGACAGCCUCAGAGCCGUAGACCAUGAAGAACGGGGUGUAUUUUGUUGCCCUACUUGGUGUUGUCCUUAGGCUCCAUAGGACCGAGGAAAGCUCUUCGACCCAUUUCUUGCCGAACUUCUUCACGCGAUUGUAGAUCCUUGGUUUGAGCCCCUGCAAAAUCAUGCCGUUGGCGCGCUCGACCUGGCCGUUAGUUCGAGGAUGGGCCACUGCAGACCAGUUCACACGGAUGUGAUGCUUCGUAGAAGUCCAAGAACUUUUUGCCGGUGAACUGGGUGCCGUUGUCGGUGAUGAUUAUGCUGGGGAUUCCAAACCGAUGUAUGAUGUCGGUGAAGAAAAGGACGGCUUGCUCGGAGCAGAUGUUGGUGAUGGGUCGAGCCUCGAUCCAUUUGGAGAAUUUGUCGAUGGCCACCAGCAAGUGGGUGUAUCCUCCUUUCGCCUUUUGUAGGGGCCCUACUAAGUCGAGCCCCCACACCGCAAAUGGCCACGUGAUGGGGAUCAUCUGAAGAGUGUGGGCGGGCAGAUGCGUCUGUUUGGCGUAGAACUGGCACCCAUGACAUGAUCGUACGAGCUCGAUGGCAUUUGCUAUGGCUGUUGGCCAGUAGAUGCCUUGUCGGAAGGCGUUCCCUAUGAGGGUCCGUGGAGCAGCAUGGUGGCCACAAGCCCCCGAGUGUAGGUCCUCGAGUAGUUUCCGGCCUUCUUUCACGGUGAUGCAACGCUGCAAGACCCCUGUGGGGCUUCGUCGAUAUAGCUCAUUGCCCUCGCCAUAGAUCACAUAUGACUUGGCCCGUCGAGCCAUACGGCGGGCCUCGGACCGAUCUCCUGGCAGCUCGCAGCGAAUUAGACAGUCGAGGAACGGUGUGCGCCAGUCGAACGGUCGAUCGGGCCGCUGUUCUACCUCCAUCACUUCAGCUGCCAUCAACAUUGCGUGACCUUGUCGACGGAUGGCUCGUGAAGGUCUCUCGAGAACGCGUCAGGUGGCACCGUGCCUCGGGUCGACGUGAUCUUGGCGAGUUCAUCGGCUGCCUCGUUGUAGCGUCGGGCGAUGUGGACGAGCUCGAGGCCAAGGAACUUGUCCUCGAGUUGACGGACUUCUUUGCAGUACGCCUCCAUUUUGGGGUCAUGGCAGCUUGAAGUCUUCUUCACUUGGUCGAUGACGAGCUGGGAGUCGCCUCGGAUGUCAAGGCGUAGGACUCCUAACUCGAUGGCGAUCUUGAGACCGUUGACGAGGGCCUCGUAUUCCGCGACAUUGUUGGAUGCAGCAAAGUGAAUCCUGAUGACGUACCUCAUAUGGACACCCAAGGGCGAGAUGAACAGCAGGCCGGCCCCGGCCCCCGUUUUCAUGAGUGACCCGUCGAAAUACAUCGUCCACAGCUCCGCUUGGACCUGAGUCGGGGGGAGUUGAGAGUCUGUCCAUUCCGUGACGAAGUCCACCAGGGCUUGCGAUUUGACGGCCUUGCGAGGCGCAUAAGUGAGAGUCUCACUCAUAAGCUCGACCGACCAUUUAGCUAUUCUCCCCGUGGCCUCCUUACUCUGGAUUAUCUCGCCCAGUGGGAAAGACGAGACCACCGUGAUGGGGUGACCAAGGAAAUAGUGCUGCAGCUUGUGGUUCCGCGGGGGCGCACGAGCGACCCCGCGGGGGUAGCCCCCGAGCCCUCGAGGGAGUAUUUAACUCCUUCGAGGGUUAUUUUGCCAAAUUUGCAGAAACGCUGUCAACACCCAUGGUGGAAGGUUCUGUUCGGCUUUGCCUUGCGUGGAGGUUUCGAUGUACUCUCGAUAGAGCGAGCGUCUUCCACCCCAGAUUGAGUUCCUAGCGGGUAGUCCAAGUGAGAACCUGUGCCCUUUCGAGGGGGUCAGCUGUAGCCCGGAGGCGUCCUCAUAAAGCAGGGUCGACGUGGUCGGGGAUACCGGUCUCAUUCGAUAGAGUCCAGCGGCUCGAUGCCUCCCUUCGGGGGGAUUCCUCUCGACUGUCUCGACCCUACCUUGGACAUCGCCAGCGAGUCCUCGAGGCGGGCCUCGAUUUUCGACCACUCGCUAGGGAUCCCUGACUCUUGGUGCUCGAGAUCGGCUGUCGAACCCUUUCGACGGGCCAGCCAUCGACCUCUCGAGACUAUCGUGGGCGCAUACCUUGGCUUACGAAGUAAGGAAACUGCCGUGCCGGUUCGUCUUUCUGCCCGUUGGGCGCACCUUUUGAGGUAAGUGACGUUGCGACACUGUAUCGGCGGGGAAUUCGGAGCGUCCGGCCUAUGAGGAGAGGAAGGACUGUUAGACGGCGCAUUUAUGGGAGGGAGUUACCUUAUUUCUCGGAUCUGUCCGCUGGCGGACUGCUGCCUAUAAAUACGUUGUGGCGUCGCCGCCGUUCCUCUCCCUUCCGCCUUCUCGCUUUUAUUCUCUCGUUGCCUUUGCUUUCUCGCCGUCUCACGCGCACACGCCUCCUCGAGCUGUAGUGAAUCUACCGUCCCUCCAGCCGAGAUGCCUGUAAGACUCGUCGCCGCCGACGACUGGCGCCCGUCGUCGAUGACGGAGCGCCGGUUGUUAGAGCUUGAGAAAGAGGAACUGCUGCGCCGCCGUACCUCGCUAUCGUCGCCAGAGUGGAUCGCGCCGCCGGCGAGUCACACGGGGCCUCAGCCGCCCGAGGGCUACGUGGUGUCGUUCGCCAAGUUCCACCGCCACGGUCUGGGCGCGCCCCCGAGCCGCUUCAUGCGGGCCCUCUGCUUCCAUUAUGGGGUGGAGCUCCAGCACUUCUCUCCGAACGCCAUCACCGUAGCGGCGGUCUUCGCCGCCGUGUGUGAGGGCUACUUGGGGAUGAUGCCGCACUGGGAGCUGUGGCUCCACCUCUACAGGGGCGAGCUUUUCCAUGCCCCCACCGGAACCACGGGCGUAAGGAAGCCCGUGCGGGCGGGAUGCCUCAAUCUGGUGCAGAAGACGGGGAAGACGGACAGGCCGCGGGAGUACAUCCCGGUGGGGUUAUGGAAAGGGAACUUUUGGACAUGCUUUAUUCAGACUAGUAUAAUCGACACACAUCCUCAUUUUCCCAUUCUUUUUCUUAACUAAUACAGGGUUUGCUAACCAGUCAGGAUGAUGAACCUCCUUGAUGAAUCCGGCCGUCAAAAGCUUGUGGACUUCCUCGCCAAUGAUCUUGCGCUUCUCCUCGUCGAAUCGGCGCAACCGCUGCUUCACUGGCUUGGAACCGGCUCGAAUCUCCAAGGAGUGCUCGGCGACUUCCCUCGGUAUGCCUGGCAUGUCCGAGGGACUCCAUGCAAACAUGUCGGCAUUUGCACGGAGAAAGUCGACGAGCACAGCUUCCUAUUUGGGGUCGAGGUCGGUGCUGAUCGUCAGCACUUUGCCGUCGGAGUUGUUGGGGUCGAGCGGGAUCUUCUUGGUUCCUUCCGCCGCCUCGAAGCUGCCCGCGUGGCGCUUAGGCUCUGGAGCCUCAGCGGCCAGGGCCUCGAGCUUCGCGACGAGCUCGGUGGAGUUCUCGACCGCCUCCCCGUACUCGACGCACUCGACGUCGCACUCGUACGCAUGCUCGAAGGAGGAACUGACAGUGAUGACACCUUUGGGACCGGGCAUCUUCAGCUUCAAGUAGGUGUAGUUGGGUAUAGCCAUGAACUUGGCGUAGCCCGGGCGCCCGAUGAUGGCGUGGUACGUGCCUCGAAACCCAACCAACUCGAAGGUGAGGGUCUCCUUCUUGAAGUUGGCCGCCGUGCCGAAGCAGACCGGUAAGUCAAUUCGACCUACUGGCAGCGCCUUUUUUCCUGGCACGACGCCAUGGAACCCGCCGGCACUUGGUUGGAGCUUCCCUCUAUCUAUGCCGAGGAGGUCAAGGGUCUCGAGGUAGAUGAUGUUGAGGCUGCUACCGCCAUCCAUCAGCACUUUCGAGAGCCGGGUGUUGACGAUGAUGGGGUCGACGAUGAGCGGGUAGACGCCUGGGGCGACUACCUUGUCGGGGUGGUCUUCUCGGUCGAAAGUGAUAGGAGUGCUUGACCAGCUAAGGUAUUGGGGCACCGCCAUUCUUGCUGCAAAGACUUCGCGACGCUCCCUUUUGCGCUACCUCGUGGUCAAUUGAGUCGAGGGCCCGCCAUAGAUCAUGUAGCAGUCGUGGACAGCGGGGAAGCCGUCGUCAUCUUUGUUGUCCUCCUUGCUGCCAGCCUUCUCUUUCUUGGAGUCAUCACGCGUAUCUUUUUUGAACCCCAGACCGUCGAAAUGCUUUCUCAGCAUACGACAGUCCUUGAGCUUGUGGUUGGCGCCUCCCUUAUGGUAAGGGCACGGCUCCUCCAACAUCUUGUCAAAGAUGCCUCCAUCCGGAGGGCCUCGAGGCUUCUUUCGAUCCAUGGCGGCGACAAGGUUGUCAUCGGAAUCUUCCCGGUGGAACUGCCGCACUUUCUGCUUCUUUUUGUUUUUCUUGAGGCCUCGACUGGGGGUCCCAUCUUCAUCGAUGGGCUGCUUGCCUUUCCUUCCUUCUGAGCUGAAGAAGGCGCCGACUGCCUCCUCCCCUGCCGCGUAGUUGGCUACUACGUCCAUCAGCUCGUCGACGGUCUGAGGUCGAUUGCGACCUAAUUCCCGCACCAAGUCUCGACUGGUGGUGCCCGAGACAAACGCCAAGAUGACGUCGUGGUCAGGGAUGUGCGGCAGCUCAGUGCGCUGCUUCGAGAAGCGUCGAGCAUACUCCCGAAGAGUUUCUCCCGACUUCUGCUUGCACUUGCUGAGGUCCCACGAGUUCCCUGGCCGUAUGUAGGUCCCUUUGAAGUUACCCUCGAAGACUCUGACCAGAUCAACCCAGUUGUGGAUCUGAUUGGCAGGGAGUUCCUCGAGCCAUCGACGGGCGGUGUCGGAGAGGAAAAGGGGUAGCUGUCUGAUGAUGGCUCGAUCAUCACCUCGAGCGCCACCUAGCUGACAGGCCAGCCUAAAGUCGGCCAGCCACAACUCUAGUUUGGUCUCUCCAUUGUACUUCGCGAUGCUGGUCGGGGGUCGAAAUGGAUUGGGCAGGGGUGUGCUGCGGAUCGCCCUGCUGAACACCCGUGGGCCUGGUGGCUCGGGGGCCACCCGGUCCUCGUCGCUGUCGUAUCUCCCACCGCGAUGCGCGCUAUAACCGCGCUCUUCCGCGUCUCCGUGCCGGCGGCGUCGAUUUUCUUUGAUGUCGUGCCGCGCGUCGUGUCGACGUUGAUCGUCGACGGGGAGGAUGAGAGCGGUCUUUCUACCUCGAGGGGGAGGUUGUUGUUGGACUGACACCUCCUCUUCGUUUAAAGGCUGUUCGUCGCGCUUCUCUGUGGCAGCUCCUCGCCGUCGAGACGCCGAACUUUCAGCUUGUUGAACCGCCGCCACCUGGAGCAAUGUCUGUACCUCAUCUCGAAUGCAUCGGGCCUAGGAAUUCGACGGCUCUGGCAUGUUACGUAGCAGCAUCGUCGCUGCCACUACAUUCUGGCCUGCUCGAGGGAAACGGCUGACAGGUUGCUCUGGCUCUGAGUCGCCGACGAUCUGUCGAUGUACCUCUCGAGCGCGUCUGCGGACACUUCCGCCCGGCGGGUAGGGCAGGUCUUGCUCGAGGAUUUGCUCGAGCAGGACGAGGCGCUCGCGGUCUUCGUCGAGCUUCGUCUUGAGCUCCCGCAGUUGCGCGAGCUGCGCGGUUCUGUCUUCCUGAGGAGGGGGGUCGACCUGUCCGUCGUUCCCAGGCGUCCUGGGGUCUUCUCGCGCCGCGGGGGCUCGACCACCCGCUGCAGCAUCCCGUGUCUCGUCAGUAGUUUCUACCGCCCCGUCGAUGUGAUAGCAUUCCCUCGUAGGGUCAUAGCUAUCUGUCUCGGAGUCGGAGUCCGGUUCGGCGGCGUAGAAACACCCACGUCCUUCCUCCAACAAUCGUUGCCUGAGGGAGGUGAUCGAGUAUCGUCCGGGGCCUAGACGACGGAGGCCUUGUACUCGGGAAAGGUCCGGCAGCUCGGACGUCGACCGCCGCGCUUCAGAGCUACGUGGGAGGACCAUUGGUCUUUCUACGUACGUCUGGGUGUUUGGGCAUAUCGCCCUGGCGAGCGACGCCGCGGCGUUGUCCAAUCCGAACGGCAGUGCCGCUCUUGGAGAGAACAACCCGUGUGGAAGUAGCCUAGCUGCGGUGGGGGAGAGCGCGCGAGACGCAUCCCCUCCCGUCGUCGCGCGGUGCUGAGUCGUCGCGCUUGUUGCUCCGUCACACGGUGCUGCCGACUUGUGGCCUACGUCCUGCCUCGCACGAGUUGCUGGUCGUGCUGAAGCAGAGGGGCCGCGGCGGGGCUAUCCGCGCCUCUUCUUAGGCGGGGAGGCAUGGUGGUGAGGGCGUCUCGGGGCCUUCAACCGUGCGGGCGUAACGCGGGCUCCUCCUGGUCCUUUGACUGAGAGCAAGAUCAUGUCGUAGCCGGAGCCCGUAGACAUGAACUCGAGGCUCCCAAACCAAAUCACCGUGGAGCGCGGAAACGGCGAGGCAAGAGUAGCCAUCCGGAAAGGAGUGGGAAAUCGAUGAAAAACACGCAGGACCCCUACCUGGCGCGCCAACUGUCGGUGUUUUCCCCCGGGGGGGUCACACCAACGAGUAAAUUUGUAUGCGUGCUCCCUUUCCCGGAUGGUGAUGCAAGAAGACACAGAUAUUUAUCCUGGUUCGGGCAAGAGAAGGCCCUACGUCCAGCGGGGGGGAGAGAGUUUGUAUUAUCUUGCACCUAAGUGCUUGUACAGGGGCGAAUACAAGCGUGGUAUGAAGUGUGGAGCUCUACUACGUAUGAACGUGGUCUUGUGUCGUGAUGAUCGUUCUAUUCCUGAGUCUCUCCUUUUAUAGCUCCAAGGAGAGACCCAGGGUACAUGCGUAGAUGUUAGAGUAGGGGUCGAUAGCCGCAUGGAGCGCUGACCUACUCGAGGCUUCCGUACGGCAUGGCCUCGAGCCGUCCCAUCUUGAUAGCCCGGUGAUGAUUACGCGUGCUCCUGCGUUCUGCCCUGCACGCCGCCUCGCGCUGGUUCUGAGGUCGCACGCUUGUACGGUAUGGCGGCAGAUCCGGCGGGGUAGUUGUGGUGUCGUCAGUCGACGCCCAACUUGUCCCUAGGAAGGGACCCUGUUCGGUCGAGGGUCGGACGCCGUGUAAUGUGCUGAUAUCUGGAGCGCUGACCUUGGAGGUCUCGAGGGGGUCCCGAUUAGACAUUCCAUCCUUGUUUCCCGCGUCCUGACACGCCCUUGGUCGUUCGGUGGGAAGGCUGCAAAAAGAACGAUGGGACAGAAGCCUGUUCCCUAUCACGCCUCCCGUGACCCGAGUGUUAGGUGGGGAAGCGUCAGGUGCAUUAAAUGUCCUGGCUCUCGUGCGCGCGUCAGGCGGCGGACAGUGUCCUUGCGCUCGACGCCUCUCGGUUCGCUCGAGCCCGCUUCCGUAUUCGACGGCAGUUGUCGCUCGAGCCCUGGCCGAUUCGCUCGACGCUAUUUCCGUCUUCGAGGUUGCGGCCAUCGAUGGUCGUGCGUGUGUGCGGACGGAGCGUCGAAUCGAGGCGCUAGUUUUACGUACGGAUGGUUUCGUUAUUCGUGUUGGUGAGGGUACCCCUUGUUGAUACCCUCGACAGAAAGCGACAGGCGCAUUAAAUGCCCUGGCUCUCGUGCGCGUGUCAGGCGGCGGGCGGCGUCCUUGCGCUCGAUGCCUCCCGAUUCGUGCGAGCCCGCUUCCGUACUCGACGGUAGCUAGCGCUCGACCCUUGAUUGAUUCGCCCGACGCCAUUUCCGUCUUCGAGGCUGCGGCCUUCGAUUGCUGCGCAUAUGUGUGACCAAAGUGUCGAGUAGAGGGCCUCGACUUGCGUACAGAUAAUCUCGUUAGGUGCAUCGGUGAGGGUACCCCUUACUGAUACCCUCGACAACCGUACACCAAUCUUGCAUCGAGAUUAGCACUAUCUCCAAACAGAUCGAACCGACCUUCCACUUGAGCCUGUUCGCCUAGGAGUAUUAUCGGGUGCUUCCAUAAUGGUUUCUGAGCCUAUGGUGCAUUAUGCGCAAACCAUGCACCAAUCUUGCACCUAAACUGUCUCCAAACAGAUUGAAGCGAGAUUCCAUAUGACACACAUGAUCUAGGAGUUCUAUCGGGUGCGUCCAAAUUGAUUUCUGAGAAUAUGGUACGUUCCAUGCAAACCGUACACCUAUCUUUCAUCAAGAUUAGCACUAUCUCCAAACAGACCGAACCGAGCUUUCACUUGAGCCUCUUCACCUAGGAGUACCAUCGGGAACUUCCACAACAAUUUCUGAGCCUAUGGUGCACUGGGCACAAACCAUGCAACUAUCUUGCACCGAAACUAAUACUAUCUCCAACUGGACUGAAGCGAGAUUCCAUAUGAUACACUUCAUCUAGUAGUUCCACCAGGUGCAUCUACAGUUCCAUCGGGUGUGUCCAAAUUGAUUUCUAGGCAUAUGGUAUGUUCCAUGCAAACCGUGCACCUAUCUUGCAUCAAGAUUAGAACUAUCUCCAAACAGACAGAACCAAGAUUCCACAUGAGCCUCUUCACCAAGGAGUACCAUCGCGUGCGUCCAAAAUAGUUUCUUAGCCUAUGGUGCAUUAGGCACAAACCGUGUACCUAUCUUGCACCGAAACUAACACUAUCUCCAAAGAGACCGAAGUGAGAUUCUAUAUGACAAACGUCAUCUAGGAGUUCUUUUGGGUGCUUCCAUAUAUAUUUCGAAGCAUAUGGUACGUUCGAUGCAAUUCGUGCACCUAUCUUGCAUCAAGAGUAGCACUAUCUCCAAACAAAGCAAACGGAGCUUCCACUUGAGCCCCUUUACCCAAGAGUAUCAUCGGGUGCCUCCAAAAUGGUUUCUUAGCCUAUGAUGCAUUAGGCGCAAACUGUGUACCUAUCUUGCACUAAAACUAACUCUGUCUCCAAAUAGACCAAAGCGAGAUUCCAUAUGACACAUGUCAUCUAGGAGUUCUAUUGCGAUGCAUCCAAAUAGAUUUCUUAGCAUAUGGUAUGUUCCAUGCAAAACGUGCACCUAUCUUGCAUCAAGAUUAGCACUAUCUCCAAACAGAUCGAACCGACCUUCCACUUGAGCCUCUUAACCUAGGAGUAUUAUCGGGUGCUUCCAUAAUGGUUUCUGAGCCUAUGGUGCAUUAUGCGCAAACCAUGCACCAAUCUUGCACCUAAACUGUCUCCAAACAGAUUGAAGCGAGAUUCCAUAUGACACACAUGAUCUAGGAGUUCUAUCGGGUGCGUCCAAAUUGAUUUCUGAGAAUACGGUACGUUCCAUGCAAACCGUACACCUAUCUUUCAUCAAGAUUAGCACUAUCUCCAAACUGACCGAACCGAGCUUUCACUUGAGCCUCUUCACCUAGGAGUACCAUCGGGAACUUCCACAACGAUUUCAGAGCCUAUGGUGCGCUGGGCACAAACCAUGCAACUAUCUUGCACCAAAACUAAUACUAUCUCCAACUGGACUGAAGCGAGAUUCCAUAUGAUACACUUCAUCUAGUAGUUCCAUCGGGUGCAUCUACAGUUCCAUCGGUUGUGUCCAAAUUGAUUUCUAAGCAUACGGUAUGUUCCAUGCAAACCGUGCACCUAUCUUGCAUCAAGAUUAGAACUAUCUCCAAACAGACAGAACCAAGAUUCCACAUGAGCCUCUUCACCAAGAAGUACCAUCGCUUGCGUCCAAAAUAGUUUCUUAGCCUAUGGUGCAUUAGGUACAAACCGUGUACCUAUCUUGCACCGAAACUAACACUAUCUCCAAAGAGACCGAAGUGAGAUUCUAUAUGACAAACGUCAUCUAGGAGUUCUUUUGGGUGCUUCCAUAUAUAUUUCGAAGCAUAUGGUACGUUCGAUGCAAUUCGUGCACCUAUCUUGCAUCAAGAGUAGCACUAUCUCCAAACAAAGCAAACUGAGCUUCCACUUGAGCCCCUUUACCUUGGAGUAUCAUCGGGUGCAUCCAAAAUGGUUUCGUAGCCUAUGAUGCAUUAGGCGCAAACUGUGUACCCAUCUUGCACCAAAACUAACUCUGUCUACAAAUAGACCAAAGCGAGAUGCCAUAUGACACAUGUCAUCUAGGAGUUCUAUUGCGAUGCAUCCAAAAAGAUUUCUUAGCAUAUGGUAUGUUCCAUGAAAACCGUGCACCAAUCUUGCAUCAAGAUUAGCACUAUCUCCAAACAGAUCGAACCGACCUUCCACUUAAGCCUCUUAACCUAGGAGUAUUAUCGGGUGCUUCCAUAAUGGUUUCCGAGCCUAUGGUGCAUUAUGCGCAAACCAUGCACCAAUCUUGCACCUAAACUGUCUCCAAACAGAUUGAAGCGAGAUUCCAUAUGACACACUUGAUCUAGGAGUUGUAUUGGGUGCGUCCAAAUUGAUUUCUGAGAAUACGGUACGUUCCAUGCAAACCGUACACCUAUCUAUCAUCAAGAUUAGCACUAUCUCCAAACAGACCGAACCGAGCUUUCACUUGAGCCUCUUCACCUAGGAGUACCAUCGGGAACUUCCACAACGAUUUCAGAGCCUAUGGUGCACUGGGCACAAACCAUGCAACUAUCUUGCACCGAAACUAAUACUAUCUCCAACUGGACUGAAGCGAGAUUCCUUAUGAUACACUUCAUCUAGUAGUUCCAUCGGGUGCAUCUACAGUUCCAUCGGGUGUGUCCAAAUUGAUUUCUAAGCAUAUGGCAUGUUCCAUGCAAACCGUGCACCUAUCCUGCAUCAAGAUUAGAACUAUCUCCAAAUAGACAGAACCAAGAUUCCACAUGAGCCUCUUCACCAAGGAGUACCAUCGCGUGCAUCCAAAAUAGUUUCUUAGCCUAUGGUGCAUUAGGUACAAACCGUGUACCUAUCUUGCACCGAAACUAACACUAUCUCCAAAAGAGACCGAAGUGAGGUUCUAUAUGACACACAUCAUCUAGGAGUUCUAUUGGGUGCUUCCAAAUAUAUUUCUAAGCAUAUGGUAUGUUCGAUGCAAUUCGUGCACCUAUCUUGCAUCAAGAUUAGCACUAUCUCCAAACAAAGCAAACUGAGCUUCCACUUGAGCCCCUUUACCCAGGAGUAUCAUCGGGUGCGUCCAAAAUGGUUUCGUAGCCUAUGAUGCAUUAGGCGCAAACUGUGUACCUAUCUUGCACCAAAACUACCUCUGUCUCCAAACAGACCUAAGCGAUAUUCUAUAUGACACAUGUCAUCUAGGAGUUCUAUUAGGGUGCGUCCAAAUGGAUUUCUUAGCAUAUGGUAUGUUCCAUGCAAACCGUGCACCUAUCUUGCAUCAAGAUUAGCACUAUCUCCAAACAGAUCGAACCGACCUUCCACUUGAGCCUCUUCACCUAGGAUUAUCAUCAGGUGCUUCCAUAAUGGUUUCUGAGCCUAUGGUGCAAUAUACGCAAAUGAUGCUCCAAUCUUUCACCUAAACUAACACUGUCUCCAAACAGAUUGAAGCGAGAUUCCAAAUGACACACAUGAUCUAGGAGUUCUAUCGGGUGCGUCCAAAUUGAUUUAUGAGAACAUGGUACGGUCCAUGCAAACCGUACACCUAUCAUUCAUCAAGAUUAGCACUAUCUCCAAACAGACCGAACCGGGCUUUCACUUGAGCCUCUUCACCUAGGAGUACCAUCGAGAACUUCCACAACGAUUUCUGAGCCUAUGGUGCAUUGGGCACAAACCAUGCAACUAUCUUGCACCGAAACUAAUACUAUCUCUAACUGGACCGAAGCGAGAUUCCAAAUGAUACACUUCAUCUAGUAGUUCCAUCGGGUGCAUCUACAGUUCCAUUGGGUGUGUCCAAAUUGAUUUCUGAGCAUAUGGUAUGUUCCAUGCAAACCGUGCACCUAUCUUGCAUCAAGAUUAGAACUAUCUCCAAACAGACAGAACCAAGGUUCCACAUGAGCCUCUUCACCAAGAAGUACCAAUACGUGCGUCCAAAAUAGUUUCUUAGCCCAUGGUGCAUUAGGCACAAACCGUGUACCUAUCUUGCACCGGAACUAACACUAUUUCCAAAGAGACCGAAGUGAGAUUCUAUAUGACACACAUCAUCUAGGAGUUCUAUUGGGUGCUUCCAAAUAUAUUUCUAAGCAUAUGGUACGUUCGAUGCAAUUCGUGCACCUAUCUUGUAUCAAGAUUAGCACUAUCUCCAAACAAAGCAAACUGAGCUUCCACUUGAGCCCCUUUACCCAGGAGUAUCAUCGGGUGCAUCCAAAAUGGUUUCUUAGCCUAUGAUGCAUUAGGCGCAAACUGUGUAACUAUCUUGCACCAAAACUAACUCUAUCUCCAAAUAGUCCAAAGUGAGAUUCCAUAUGACACAUGUCAUCUAGGAGUUCUAUUGGGAUGCAUUCAAAUAGAUUUCUUAGCAUAUGGUAUGUUCCAUGAAAACCGUGCACCUAUCUUUCAUCAAGAUUAGCGCUAUCUCCAAACAGAUCGAACCAACCUUCCACUUGAUCCUCUUCACCUAGGAGUAUUAUCGGGUGCUUCCAUAAUGGUUUCCGAGCCUACGGUGCAUUAUGCGCAAACCAUGCACCAAUCUUGCACCUAAACUGUCUCUAAACAGAUUGAAGCAAGAUUCCAUAUGACACACAUGAUCUAAGAGUUCUAUCGGGUGCGUCAAAAUUGAUUUCCGAGAAAUAUGAUAUGUUCCAUGCAAACCAUACACCUAUCUUGCAUCAGAUUAGCACUAUCUCUAAACAGACCGAACUGAGCUUUCACUUGAGCCUCUUCACCUAGGAGUACCAUCGGGAACUUCCACAACGGUUUCUGAGCCUAUGGUGCACUGGGCACAAACCAUGCACCUAUCUUGCACGAAACUAAUACUAUCUCCAGCUAGACUGAAGCGAGAUUCCAUAUGAUACACUUCAUCUAGUAGUUCUAUCGGGUGCAUCUACAGUUCCAUCGGGUGUGUCCAAAUUGAUUUCUGAGCAUAUGGUAUGUUCCACGCAAACCGUGCACCUAUCUUGCAUGAAGAUUAGAACUAUCUCCAAACAGACAGAACCAAUAUUCCACAAGAGCCUCUUCACCAAGGAGUACCAUCGCGUGUGUCCAAAAUAGUUUAUUAGCCUAUGGUGCACUAAGCACAAACCGUGUACCUAUCUUGCACCGAAACUAACACUAUCUCCAAAGAGACCGAAGUGAGAUUCUAUAUGACACAUAUCAUCUAGGAGUUCUAUUUGGUGCUUCCUAAUAUAUUUCUAAGCAUAUGGUACGUUCGAUGCAAUUCGUGCACCUAUCUUGCAUCAAGAUUAGCGCUGUCUCCAAACAAAGCAAACUGAGCUUCUGCUUGAGCCCCUUUUCCUAGGAGUAUCAUCGGGUGCAUCCAAAAUGGCUUCUCAGCCUAUGAUGCAUUAGGCGUAAACUGUGUACCUAUCUUGCACCAAAACUAACUCUAUCUCCAAAUAGACCAAAGCGAGAUUCUAUAUGACACAUGUCAUCUAGGAGUUCUAUUGGGGUGCGUCCAAAUAGAUUUCUUAGCAUAUGGUAUGUUCCAUGCAAACCGUGCACCUAUUUUGCAUCAAGAUUAGCACUAUCUCCUAAUAGAUCGAACCGACCUUCCACUUGAGCCUCUUCACCUAGGAUUAUCAUCGGGUGCUUCCAUAAUGGUUUCUGAGCCUAUGGUGCAUUAUGCGCAAACGAUACACCAAUCUUGCACCUAAACUAACACUGUCUCCAAAAAGAUUGAAGCGAGAGUCCAUAUGACACACAUGAUCUAGGAGUUCUAUCGGGUGCGUCCAAAUUAAUUUCUGAGAAUACGGUACGUUCCAUGCAAACCGUACACCUAUCUUUCAUCAAGAUUAGCACUAUCUCCAAACAUACCAAACCAAGCUUUCAGUUGAGCCUCUUCACCUAGGAGUAUUAUCGGGUGCUUCCACAAUGAUUUCUGAGCCUACGGUGCAUUAUGCGCAAACCAUGCACCAAUCUUGCACCUAAAUUGUCUCCAAACAGAUUGAAGCGAGAUUCUAUAUGACACACAUGAUCUAGGAGUUCUAUCGGGUGUGUCCAAAUUGAUUUCUAAGAAUACGGUACGUUCCAUGCAAACCGUGCACCUAUCUUUCAUCAAGAUUAGCACUAUCUCCAAACAGACCGAACCGAGCUUUCACUUGGGCCUCUUCAUCUAGGAGUACCAUCGGGAACUUCCACAACGAUUUCUGAGCAUAUGGUGCACUGGGGACAAACCAUGCAACUAUCUUGCAUCGAAACUAAUACUAUCUCCAGCUGGACUGAAGCGAGAUUCUAUAUGAUACACUUCAUCUAGUAGUUCCAUCGGGUGCAUCUACGGUUCCAUCGGGUGUGUCCAAAUUGAUUUCUGAGCAUAUGGUAUGUUCCUUGCAAACCAUGCACCUAUCUUGCAUCAAGAUUAGAACUAUCUCCAAACAGACAGAACCAAGGUUCCACAUGAGCCUCUUCACCAAGGAGUACCAAUGCGUGCGUCCAAAAUAGUUUCUUAGCCUAUGGUGCAUUAGGCACAAACCGUGUACCUAUCUUGCACCGAAACUAACACUAUCUCCAAAGAGACCUAAGUGAGAUUCUAUAUGACACACAUCAUCUAGGAGUUCUAUUGGGUGCUUCCAAAUAUAUUUCUAAGCAUAUGGUACGUUCGAUGCAAUUCGUGCACCUAUCUUGUAUCAAGAUUAGCACUAUCUCCAAACAAAGCAAACUGAGCUUCCACUUGAGCCCCUUUACCCAGGAGUAUCAUCGGGUGCAUCCAAAAUGGUUUCUUAGCCUAUGAUGCAUUAGGCGCAAACUGUUUACCUAUCUUGCACCAAAACUAACUCUGUCUCCCAAUAGACCAAAGUGAGAUUCCAUAUGACACAUGUCAUCUAGGAGUUCUAUUGCGAUGCAUCCAAAUAGAUUUCUUAGCAUAUGGUAUGUUCCAUGAAAACAGUGCACCUAUCUUUCAUCAAGAUUAGCACUAUCUCCAAACAGAUCGAACCGACCUUCCACUUGAGCCUCUUCAUCUAGGAGUAUUAUCGGGUGCUUCCAUAAUGGUUUCCAAACCUAUGGUGCAUUAUGCGCAAACCAUGCACCAAUCUUGCACCUAAACUGUCUCCAAACAGAUUGAAGCAAGAUUCCAUAUGACACACAUGAUCUAGGAGUUCUAUCGGGUGCGUCAAAAUUGAUUUCCAAGAAUAUGAUAUGUUCCAUGCAAACCAUACACCUAUCUUGCAUCAAGAUUAGCAAUAUCUCCAAACAGACCGAACCGAGCUUUCACUUGAGCCUCUUCACCUAGGAGUACCAUCGGGAACUUCCACAACGGUUUCUGAGCCUAUGGUGCACUAGGCACAAACCAUGCAUGUGGGGGUAUAAACCCCUAUACCCUUACGGCUAGACUUGGGCCAGGAGGCUUGGCCCAUUACGAGACAAGUUCGAGGUUUCAUCCGACCGUUCUGAGUUUCGCGCAAGGAAACAAGACGUGGAGAUCAAGCAGGAUUCUAGUCGGUUAGAAUAGGAAUUGAUAUCGAACUAUCUAUGGCAAUUGUAACCGACUAGGAUUAGUUUCUAGGCCUAUAACCCUGCCCUCCGGACUAUAUAAGGAGGGGCAAGGGACACCCCUAGGACAUCAUUAUUCUCUCAACACAAAUCAAUACAACAAGACGCAGGACGUAGGUAUUACGCCAGCUCGGUGGCCGAACCUGGAUAAAAAGCUUGUCCGUGUCUUGCGUCAGCAUCGAGUUCGUAGUUUGCGCACCGUCUACCGAUAAACUACUACCGUGGGUAUACCCCAAGGUAGACUGCCGACCAGCUUUCGUGGAUAGUGGCGCGCCAGGUAGGGGGUGUGCGUACAACUUCUCCGGCGAACAAGAUGGUCAUCGUUCUAGCUUCCGCGGCCGUGCCUGAAGGCCUCACGUUCACCGUCGGCCAGAUUACGUGGACAACUCGCGGCGGUGGCAUCACGGCCACGGUUUUGGAAGAAACCCAGAUCCAAUCUGGGAUGACACUGGCACCGAGCACCCGACCACCGCUUCCGCGCUACAAGGGAAAGAAGAUCGAUGGCUCGGACCUUCUCCAAGCUCUCGAUCGCGCCGAUCUCAAGCUUCUCGAAGCUUCCCGACUAGUAGAUGGGAUCUCGCGUCAGCCUGGUCAAGCCGCGCCAACGGAUUUUUUUCAACUCCCACAGGCCAACUCGUGUCGUCACACACGAACGGCUGGGAACGUCUCUGACGAUAACCUCCACCCUCUCAGGACGGUCCGUCAAACUCGAGGCUGAUCCAGACCAAGGUUCUCCUUAUGGGCUGAACAACUCAGCCGUUCACUAUUCGAGGCACAUCCAAUCCCUUUUCAACGAGGCCGGUUGGUUGCCAAAACGAAGCGGUCGACCAGCGCGUCACUACGUCAACAUGGUGACGAUCCGAGAACUACGGGACGGCCAGGUUUCCAGCACAAACUCCAGCACUGGAUCCGUUCCCACCGAAGUCAUAAACUCCGAGGACGAGGACUACGACCUGGAUUUACCACCGUAUCCGUCGGGUUUCUCUCGCUUCUCGGUCUUCCCGCGCCGGCGAGGAGACCUCGUCUUCAAUGUCAGCAAUGAUGAGCCGGUCGUUGACGGAGAGACAGACGAGUAGAGGCAGCUCCGCGAGCAGCGCAAUGCCGACCGCGCCCGGCGAUGCGCGGAAGAGGAGCGGCAACUCCCGCCGCAUAACCUCACUGACGCUUUCGACAUGGUCGAAGAUCAGCAAGUCUAUAAAACGCCAAGCGCUAACGUGGCUGUUGCCAUGGCCAACUUAGAUCGACUCCCUGAUACUCCUGAGUGCCAGGGUGUACAAUCAAGCGUACGUGCGCAUCUGAUCGCCGCGAUGGGACAGACAGCCACUCUGCUCAAAAGAGUCCAAGCUAUCUCCUAUGCAGAGGUCUCGUCCGACCAGACCCAUCGCAGCAGGACCUCACCACAACCCAGCGGGCACCACCGCAGCCGUUCCCCCACCAAUCGUCGAAAGGAUUCACGACGUGACGAUGGCGGUCGGGACGCUGGCGGCUAUCGCGAGCAGAAUUACGGGUGUGGUCAGGAAGUAAACCAGCACAGGGAUCUUCGAUACAACAUCCCUCCCAAAGACGCCCGGGACCGCAUCAACAGGCGCGCCACGGAGAGAGCAGUUCACGAAAACCUGCAUCGUAUUGAGUACGAUGCAACGCACGGCCCCCCGGGCCUGAGACAGUUCUCACACCUCCGCCAGGUCGUGUGGCCCCGUAAUUUCAAGCUCGAGAAACUCAAAAAAUACGACGGCAAGGAAAACCCAGAGAACUGGAUCACUCUCUACGAGAUCGCCGUCCGGUCAGCAACAGACGAUGAGCACGUCAUGGCCAACUACUUCCCAGUCGUCCUCGACCAGGCUGGUCACCAGUGGCUCCUAGGACUGCCCGAGGACUCUUUCGACUCCUGGGAAGAACUACGCCAAGCAUUCAUCGACAAUUUCAUCACCACCUGGGAAUAGCCUGGGAACAAGUACGACCUCGAAAGGAUAAGGGACAGGAAAAACGAGCCUCUGUGCGAUUACAUCCGACGAUUCUCGGAUAUGCGCCUUAAGAUCCCGAAAAUUUCCCACGACGAGGCCAUAUCUGCUUUUAUCAAGGGGCUGCGCUUCCACAAAGCACUGAGGAACAAGCUGCUGCACAAAAGGCCAACAACGAUGGCCGAGCUCCUUGCCACGGCUAAAAAUUACGCCGACGCCGACGAUGCGUAAAAACUCAUCCGGGACGACGCCAGAGGUCCCGACCAGCCUCCUCGACGAGACGACAGUCGAGGUCGUUUCGACAAUAGGAACCAUCGUCGCCCCGACAACCGGGACCACAGAGAAGGCUGGGACAGGCGACGUGACAAUCGCGACGAUUUCAGAGGCAAGCGCCCUCGCGACCACGACCACGAGGUGAAUACGGUCAAGCGCCCCAAUGGGCGGCGAGACUACCAAGAAGACUACAACAAGACGUUGAAGGGACCAUGCCAACUGCAUCCAAAAUCCAACCACACAAUGGAGGAAUGUCACGUCCUAAAAAGCAUUUACACGCGGCGGGCUGCUCAAGACGACCCCGCCAAGAAAAACGGGAAACAGGACGGGCGCGAUCAUGAAGACGAGGACGACAACCAGGAUAGGGACCCACGACACCAGUAUGUCAGUCCCACAGACGUGGUCCACUCCAUCUUCGGGGGCAAGGUCUCCAUCGAGUCUAAGCGAGAAAGAAAGCUCUUAAAAAGAGCCUGCCUAAACAUAGACAGCACGGACGACCUGAUCGCCAAUCCGAAAUUUCCUCCCUGGUCGCACAGGGAAAUCUCCUUUAGCAGGAAGGAUCAGUGGGCCGCUAUCCCGGAGCCAGGACGUUUCCCUCUAAUCUUGGAUCCUUGCAUCAACAGCAUCUGAUUCGAACGCGUGCUCGUUGACGGGGGAAGCUCCAUCGAUAUCCUCUUUCGCAAUAGCUUACCUGCCCUCAAGAUAACCCCAACACAGUUAAAGUCAUACGACGCUCAAUUCUGGGGAGUCUUGCCAGGUCAAAGAUCAGUGCCUCUCGGACAGAUAACACUGCCUGUCCAAUUCGGCACAUCCGACCACUUCCGAACAGAGUUCGUCAACUUUGUGGUCGCCGACUUCAAUGGAACCUACUAUGCUAUACUGGGCCGACCAUCGCUGACAAAGUUCACGGCAGUUCCGCAUUACUCAUAUCUGGUCCUCAAAAUGCCUACAGAGAAGGGCGUCCUAACUGUCAGGGGCAAUGUCUACACUGCAUACACUUGCGAGGAGGAAAGCUUCAAGAUCACCGAAGCAAUUGACCUUUCAAUUCGCGUGGCAGAAACAGCUGCCCAAGCUGCACAGCUCCCUCCCGACCAGCUCCGACUACCCGAGCAGGAGACUGCUAGGAAGAAUUCAAAGUCCAGAGAAUACAAGGAAGUACAGCUGGUCGAAGGCAGCCCCAAGAAGACGGCUCUCAUCGCGGCCAACCUGGAUCCUAAAUAGGAAGACGCGCUCGUCAGGUUUCUAAGGGACAACGUGAGCGUUUUCGCAUGGAAACCCGCAGACAUGCCCGGCGUCCCAUGAAACCUGAUCGAGCACUCCUUAAAUGUCUCGAAGACCGCAAGACCUAUCAAGCAAAAGCUGUGACGGUUCGCUCAUGACAAAAAGGAGGCUAUUAGGACAGAAGUAACACGGCUUCUAGCAGCCGGAUUUAUAAAAGAAGUGUAUCAUCCUGAUUGGCUCGCUAAUCCGGUUCUUGUACGCAAAAAGAAUAACGAAUGGAGAAUGUGCGUUGACUACACUGAUCUCAAUAAACACUGUCCUAAAGAUCCUUUUGGUCUCCCUCGCAUCGACGAGGUGGUCGACUCAACGGCCGGAUGCGAACUCCUCUCUUUUCUAGACUGCUACUCUGGUUAUCACCACAUCUCGCUAAAGGAAGAUGAUCAGAUCAAAACGUCCUUCAUUACUCCUUUCGGCGCAUACUGCUACACCACCAUGUCCUUCGGACUCAACAACGCCGGAGCCACCUAUCAACGGGCCAUCCAGCAAUGCCUCCACGACGAGAUUCGUGAUGACCUCAUCGAGGCUUAUGUAGACGAUGUCGUCGUCAAAACAAGGGAUGCAAGCACCCUAAUCGACAACUUAGACCGAACCUUUAAGGUACUAAACAAGUACAAGUGGAAGCUUAACCCCAAAAAGUGCAUCAUUGGGGCCCCUUCUGGUCUACUACUCGGUAACGUCGUCAGCCGCGACGGCAUACGACCGAAUCCUUCAAAAGUAAAAGCAGUGCUCGACAUGCGACCACCUAAGAAUGUCAAGGAUAUUCAGAAGCUCACCGGAUGUAUGGCCGCUCUCAGCCGCUUCAUCUCAAGACUAGGAGAAAAAGGCCUCCCUUUCUUCAAACUCUUGAAGGCGUCGGAAAACUUCUCCUGGACAGAGGAAGCUGAAGCUGCGUUCACCCAGCUAAAGACUUUCCUCACCUCACCGCCUGUUCUCACAGCACCUCAGCCCAAUGAAGACCUAAUCCUUUACAUUGCGGCAACCGACAGGGUUGUCUCCACGGCAAUAGUGGUCGAGCGAGACGAGCCAGGUCACGUCUACAAGGUCCAGAGACCCGUUUAUUUCAUAAGCGAGGUCUUAAACGAGUCCAAGGCCAGAUACCCACAAAUACAGAAGCUCAUAUACGCCAUUCUAAUAACGUCAAGGAAGCUAAAGCACUACUUCGACGACCAUCGGGUCUUGGUAACCACCAGUUUCCCUCUUGGGGAUAUUCUGCGCAAUAAAGACGCCAACGGCAGAAUUAUAAAAUGGGCAAUGGAAUUAUGCCCAUUCUCCCUGGAUUUCCAGAACCGCACCAUAGUCAAGUGUCAGGCCCUGGUCGAUUUCAUCGUAGAGUGGACGGAUCUCAACGAGCCUCCCGUUUCCGACGUCUCCGACCACUGGUCAAUGUUCUUCGACGGGUCCAUGAACAUCAACGGCGCCGGCGCUGGGAUACUUUUCGUGUCGCCUAACAAGGACAAACUGCGUUACGUCCUUAGGAUCCUCUUUCCGACGUCAAACAACGUUGCUGAGUAUGAAGCAUGCCUGCAUGGCAUACGACUAGCUGUUGAGUUGGGAGUCAAACGCCUCUACGUCCAUGGCGACUCCGCUUUAGUUAUCAACCAGCUCAACAAGGAAUGGGACGCAACCCACAAGAAGAUGGAUCUCUACUGCAAAGAAAUCCGCAAAUGGGAAUCCAACUUCUAUGGUAGAUUACAUCCACGUGGUCCAGGAUAAGAACCAGGCAGCGGAUGCGCUGUCAAAGUUAGGGUCAUCUCGAGCCCAGAUUCCGCGAGGUGUUUUCGUCCAGGACAUCCAUGAGCCAAGUGUGGGCACAGACCUGGUCGAAAAGCAACCUAUUGAGGCAAUGCUCAUAGACAACGCUACUCCGACAACCAGCAGCUGUGAUUGGCGCUCCCCGUUCAUCAGGUAUAUAUCGGACGGGUCAGGCUUUCAAGAUAAAACGGAGAACGAGCGCCUCAUCCGACGAUCAAAGAAUUACAUACUAGUGGACGGCAAACUUAUGCGAAAAAAUGCAAGUUCUGAAGUGCUGCUCAAAUGCAUAUCCCAAGAUGAUGGUAUCAAGCUCCUGGACGACAUACACGCCGGAUCCUGCGGCAACCACGCAGCCUCCAGAACACUAGUCGGGAAGGCUUUCUGAGCAGGUUUUUACUGGCCAACCACGGUCACCGACGCAGAAAAACUGGUCCGACAUUGUGAAGGAUGCCAGUUCUUCGCCAAAAGGACCCACGUACCUGCUCACGAGAUUCAAACUAUUCCAUCAACCUGCCCUUUCGCCUGCUGGGGCCUCGACAUGAUCGGGCCAUUUAAACCGGCCCCCGGCAACUUCAAGUUCGUCUUCGUGUUAAUCGACAAAUUCUCGAAGUGGAUCGAAUACAUGCCACUAGUCAAAGCAACCUCCAAGAAAGCUGUGGAAUUUCUUAAUCAAAUGAUACACAGAUUUGGGAUUCCCAACAGUAUAAUCACUGACCUGGGCACUCAGUUCACUGGCACUACGUUCUGGGACUUCUGCGAUGAUAGGGGCAUAGUCAUAAAGUACGUGUCAGUAGCUCACCCACGGGCAAAUGGUCAGUAGAGCGCGCGAACUGAAUGAUUAUUGACGCCCUAAAGAAAAGGUUGUACACCGAGAACGACAGAGCACCUGGUCGAUGGAUGAAAGAGUUGCCAGCUGUGGUCUGGGGUCUCCGAACACAGGCUAGUCGCAAUACAGGCGUCUCACCCUACUUCAUGGUUUAUGGCUCCGAGGCAGUGCUCCCGUCUGAUGUAACCUUCAGAUCUCCAAGAGUUGAAAACUUCAACCAAUCAACGGCUGACAACGCUAGGGAACUCGAAAUCAACUGCAUGGAGGAAAAGCGUCUAAUUUCAUGCCUUCAAACAGUAAAGUAUCUCGAAGCCAUCAGGCGGUACCACAACAGGAACGUCAAAGACCGUUCCUUCAUGGUCGGUGAUCUGGUGCUAAAGUGGAAGACAAGCCAGGAAGGAACGCACAAAUUAUCCAUGCCGUGGGAAGGACCCUUUGUGGUCGCCGAAGUCACGCGCCCUACAUCCUACAGACUGGCGUAUCUAGACGGAAUACCCCUCCCUAAUUCUUGGCACAUAGACAAACUGCGCCGUUUCUAUGCAUAAAUUCCAGCAUUUUCUACUUGUAAGUUUCCUAUAAUUAGCAAUAAUAAAAGUUUUCCUUUUUCGCUAUACAUUGUUUACACGCAGAGCUUUCGACGAGCACAACAAUCUUCCUCUGCGGCGAAGAUCCUUAACGAUUAAUAAUCAAACACAGUGAUACAUCACUCAGAUAACAUUACAGCGCUCAAAAUCAUGGUCAUGACAAAAUCAAACUUUAUUACAAACUUUACAUACAGAGUUUACAAUAAACACCCCGACGGGCGGUUACUAGUCUACUCCUACAGACUAUCCUACAGGCCUACUGCUCGUGCUGAUCACCCGCUUGGCCUUGCUGCCCAGACGAAGGGGUCGGGGCCACCGGCGCCUGGCUGGUCGAGACCGCAGGCGUCGAUCGCCCAUCUCCGGCAAGGGACGCCCCCGACAACUCCCUGGCCGAUCUGUCUGACCCCGACUGGUCAGCGGGAGUGGCCGUCCCGCAUAGGUUGAUGUCGCCGAUCACCGUCGACGACAAGUCUAGCAGGCCAGCUCGAAGGUCGUCUGCCUCCUGCGAGCCAACUUCCUUGGGGUACCCCCUCUCCAGCCUGGACAGGUCGACCAGGGGAUAGUGGGCGCGCACCAUGCUGAGGACAUGCGCGCUGGCGAACUCCCCGGCAUCCUUGACGAACUGCUGGAGCCAGUCCCACGCCCGUUGCGCCUUCUCGACUGGCGUCAGCCUCGGCGCGCGGGGCUAGUCCUUAGGAAGCUCGGGGCUGAUCAAGUCCAGAACCGGGGCUACUCCUUUCCAAAGCCUAAUACAGUUAGUCUUCCAGGAGUCCCGAUCCUUGACCAGCUCGUCUAAAUGCUUUUUGGUGUUCACCUUGAGCACUACAAACCAAGCAGGAGGUCAGCUCAAGAACAAGGAAAGGAACGUUGAGAAACCAAAUAAAAAAAGGGGGUGGCACGGUUAUUACCAGACAGCUCCCGAUUCCUGUGGCUUAGCUCCUCGUCUGCUCGGCGCCCGGCCUCCAGCGCCCCGGCAAGCUCUUGGCCGAGCUGCUCCUUCUCUUGCCGAAGGCGCGCAACCUCCUCCUCCAAGUCUACAGGAACAAUCCCCCGGUCAACAAAACUAACUACGCGGUCCUUUGCCGAUAUUGGUCGGCUAAACGCCGAGUGAGGUCGAGACGGCGCUCUUCCAGAGACUCAAUUUGGUCGAAGCACCUCUUCCGGUACUUCUCCGUUUUCAUUGCGCCCUGCAAGAAGAACACACGUCGAACAUAGGAACAUAUCGCAUAAGCGUCGAGCAGCACAGAGAACCACCUACCUUAACCUCGUCUAUGAGAUGUUUUGCCGCACGCUCCACCCUUGCGGCCUCCUCCGUCUCCGCGAGCUCCUCAUGUCUGAUGAAGUGAUCCCCGCGUUGGCGCCACACGUAGACAUGCUGGCGACCAUCCCGGGGACGACCUUGGAUCUCCUCCACGUCAUUGUCAGAGGCUGCCCGGGGCUCCUCGUCUGCCGCACUGCCACCGGCCGCGGUCGCAGGCAUCAUUGGCCCCUGGUCCAAGCCAGGGGAACCAACGGGCGAAGCGGCCCCUGCUCGGGGCGCCGUUGGGACUCCCCUUUCUCUGGCUGGAGGAGUCGGGGCUCUGCUCUCCUCCCCCACAACAUUACUCGGGGGAGGCAUCCUCGCUGCCUCUUCAUCCCUCGUCGGGGUGCCCGCCGUGGCACUCACCUGGGCCGGUUGUUCCUCGGCUCUUGUAGCAGCGGUUGUCGCCGCAGGCUGCUCCGUGGCUUGCGGCGCAGCGUCUCCAACGGUGGCUACAGGCUCGGCUAUCCUAUGGUCAGCGACCUGGUCGGGGUCGACGUCUGACGCCGCACUAGACAAUGAAACGACAUUUAAACAAUGUCAAAAACAACAACAAAACAAAGAACAUCGCAGUACGAAAGUAAAAUUAAACACUUACAGGUCAGAUCGCCUGUGUGUCGCGGUGAACCUCCUCCUGGUCCUACCGGCUGGUGCCUGCGCCCCCAUCUCUACGACGCGCGGUGCAGGAGGGUCGCUGGUCACCCGAUCAGUGGUGGCCGGCGCAACGUCCGGACGACUGCGCGGCCUCCGGACCAGACAAGGCGCGGCCUCCUCCUCCUCGUCGUCGUCGUCGGUGAUCCGGACGAGUCGACGGCGCUUUGGUGCCUGACUGCUCUCCGCCGGCAGCGCUUCCGCAGGGGAGGGGUCUGCUGCCAGCGGCCUUUUCCCCGCCACUCUGUCUUCAGUGGUCGGGGCGGGACGGUUCUGCUCCUCCUCACUGCUAGUGUACUGUUGGGUAUUUUAAACGCAAACAGACAAAUCCGCAAGCGCACGGAUACCGAUGUAGCUUUCACCCGGGAGUAUUCCAGAGUAUCGAUUUUCCACAGAGAACGUGAGUGUACUAAUUAAGAAUCAAGAUCGCCCAAGGAUAACUAUAUAAGUAUUUUUGGUGGGAAGAGAGGAAGUUUCCUGAGAGUCCUCUAGUUGAUCUAAGAAUCAAGAAUUACUUCCAAGAUUAUCUAUAUCGGGACAUCAGAGCACUAACCACAGAAAGAGAUGAGAAGGGGGCUAGGAAGGUCUGACUACGGUCCUACAAACACCGAUCCGAACGUGGUGGAAUACGUCGACCGUUAGGGCUGUCACUACCUUAGGGCUACCACAACAAUCCAUGGGAUUGGGUGCAAUUCCUGGUAAUCACAAGACUAAACACCACGUCUAAUCUAUUAAUUACUACUCUAGCGUUAUAAAGACUAGAGCACUUGAUGCAAGCGGGAAUCCAAUAAAUAACUUGAAUGUAAAUAAAAGUAAUUAAAGAACUCAGGAAUUAUGAAUUGAAGAACCUGGAGAACGAUGAAGAACGAACCAGAUGCUGCAAAAGUAUAAUGUUGAGGAAGAUCCGACAGAUCCGGCUCCUCCUCCGCUCUCCUCUUCUCUCUCCCUAUUUUCUAGAUUACAACUAGAACUAACUAGAACUAGAACUAGAGGAACUAGAAUUGGAACUAGAUGAACUAGAACUAGAUCUAGAUGAACUAGAGGUAGAACUAGAAGAACUAGAGGGAUCCUCUCUACUUGGAUGAAGAAUUGAAACCCUAACUUUGAUUCUGUAGAAGAGGUAUGAUCUCCAGGGGCCAGGGGGGUUUGGUUUUAUAGUCCCUUCAAGUGAAUCUGGGCCAUCGGAUCAAACCGACAUUGAUCGUGUGGUUUUCCUUGAUCCUUUAGGUCCGUGGAGCGUUGUCCGCAAAGUUGGACGUGUUUGACUACAACUCCUGGGCGGGCGCCCAAGGGGGGUGGGCGGGCGCCCUGCCCCGGGCCCGUUCGCCUUCCCGUUCGUUCCCGUGGCUUCUGGAGUCUUCUAGAUGACGUAAAAUUGCGCGGCACGUUAAUAUCUCUAUGUCAAACACCAAACCUUGUGGAAUUCUUCCGUAUUUCUUCGGACGUGUGGGCCUUUCUUCCGUAUUUCCUGAUAACCCCCUGCAGAAAUAGACAAACACCAAAACUUGUGGAAUUUUGUCAGAUAAAACCGUAAGUCUAGGUGUUGGUUGCAUUUGGAUCCUUUUCCAUGAUUAGUUGAUGGUUAAUGUGAGCAUUAAGGACCGUCAACAAGCUCCCCCAAGCUUAACCUUUGCUCGUCCCUGAGCAAAGAUGAACUCAAGAGUUUCUACAGUGGUUUCAUAACUUAAAGAUACACAUGCGUUUAAAUAAGAUCUCAUCUCUGGUUAGAGUAAACUGUUAAGACUUAAAACUUACUCAUUUACCUUUCACCAUGGGGCUUGUAACCGUCACUUGUGUCUUGAGCAGUUAAAAGAUAGAACGGUCUAGUCAAGCACCAUGUCUAAUGUCCUUGAUCAACUAUAGCUCUGGAGUUUUUGCAGAUUUUCAAAUAAAACUCAGAGAUUCCUUGUAUGACUCUCUCUAGCCUCUCUUUUGUGGUAUUUCUGGAUCCUUACCAAGGCAGUAUUGGUAUAUGCCUUCUCUCAAAGUAUGUGGUAUUUUUGGUAUAAGGCAUAGUGACAUUGCCUUCUCUCUCACCCUACUCUAAUAAGGCUUUUGAUAUCUGGAGCUCAUAGGUGGGAGACAGCUAAUACAUACUUACAAGACAUUUAUUGUAUAGUCAAACCAUGGAUCCAAAGAAACAAAUCAAUAAGUCAAAUCAAGAUGUGCAUGUGUGGCAAAUGAAUGGUGUAUGGUGAUGAUGGUGAUAACAAUGGUGGAAGUCUAAUUCUACUUAUGCUCUUUUGAGGGGAUACAUACCUUUCUUGCUCUUUUAAAACUUUCAGGGAGAAUGAGAUGCUCUAUAUUUUCUUUUUCUUUUCUCUCAAACGGGUAUCCUGUACCCCUAAUUCUACUGUCGGACACUUGUCCAUUUUUACCUCUCGUCUCACUUUUUUUUUCUCUUUUUUUUCUCUCUCUCUUUUUUUUCUUUUCUUUCGAGGUUCCGGGCACUUGCCCCUUUUUAUUUCCUCAUAUUUAUUUUUUUUAGAGCACUCAUCUCUUGAGAUAAUAUAGCAAGUGGUAGUAAGAAGAUAACUUGAGCAUUUAUUUCAUAGGGGAAAAACAGAAAUAUUUUUGGUUAUUCUCUCCCGGAUUAGGAGUAGAAUAUUUUUAGGUGGUUCUGGAGAUGGAAAUGAGUGGAUAUAUGUGGAUGGUACUUCCGGAGUAGAAGUAGCAUAUGUGAGUGAACGUGCAAGUGAAUCUUGAUUUAACCACAUGACAAGCUCCUAAGGGUCUACACAGCUUGACCACACUCAAUGCUCAUAAGCAGUAAAAAGUAAAUGUGUGGUUCAUAGUCUAAUAAGCAUGUAUAUCUGGCUUUGGUAGGAAUUUAAACUCUCAUCAUACAGGAACUCAUCAUGCAACAUUUUAAAGAUUUUCAAAGAUAAAAUUCUCCAGAAUUCUAGUAUCUCUAGGAACAGAUAAACAGCAGCUCAACCUUCCCAUAUCGUAUCCGUUAACGACUUAGACUUUAGAUCAAAUACUCUCCCCACAAGUUCAGGUUUAGAGCAAAUCUUAAUUAAUAAUAGUCAUGCCUAAACUUGAGAGAGAUUUCAAUUUUAAGAACUAGUCAUGGCAGAGCAACUACUCAUCAUUUCCAUGUGAGAGCUUAUCAUGAGGGUUCAUAGCAAACUUUAUUUAUUUAUUUAUUUAGAAAACUAAGCAAAGAUAUAUAUAUAUAUAAGCACAAAAUCUUUAUUUGGGUUUAUAUGAUUAUACAUCUUUUUAUUAUUAGAGUAAAGUAUAAACGUGAGUAGAAUACUUAGCUGGAUAAAUGGGGGUGCUCUCCCCAAAGCUGGAUUUUGACGAAGUUUCUUCUGAUGUAGCUAGCAGGUGGUGGAGGUGUAUUUGAAUGUCAGCAGCAUCCUGACAGUGAUUAGGAUGUCCUCCGACAGCUAGUCUUCUUUGAUCCUUGAAUUCUGUGGAGCUCAAAUAGACAACAAAGCUUUGUGGAACUGGUUAUGUGUUAGCAUAAAUACCUAGCCUUUAUCAUGUUGAGCCUCCUCAAUAAAUGUUACUCAUUAGUAGGAUCAUAAUUUUAUUUUUAUAAUUUUAUUUUUUAUAGGACAGAAAUAUAUUUAUUUUAUUUUUAUGCCACCACAGUGAAUGUACUUAUGGGUUUUAUGCCAUGAGCAUACUCACAUGGGGCUUACUAUUUUUAUCAUUUUUAUUUUCUUUUCAAGAUAAUAUGAAUAUGAUUAACUAAGCAAACCAUUUUAAAAUAAUUGAAAGGAAAAAGAUAACUACCAAGUUUACCUCUUGGCAAGGCGUUCGGUGUUUUUAAGUCCUCCGAACGAGACUCUCCAUUUUCUCAGUUGUCCUGGGAUUCGCUGGAUGGCGUAGUCGGUGGUUCUGACGGUGCUUCCUCUUCGUGUAUAACUAUCUUCUCUUUCCACACCUGACUCGGUGCUACGGUCUCCUCAGGAUAGUUCUGUUCAAGCUGUAUGUCUUCAGACCUUACUACUUCUCCUUCAUAGUCUGCCCAUCCGUCCUUGAUGAUUUGCCUUCUCUGGAUGCGGUUGCGUCGUCUUCUUCUUGUCUUGACCUGCUUAGAGUCUUCAACUAUAUGGUUAGGGUCAGUAAAAUAGCAGCGUACCUUCUCAGAGGGGAAAUGCAUGUGGACUCCUCUGGUUCCAAUGUAGAUGAUUGCUUUAACGGUGCUGAGGAGCGGUCUUCCAAGGAUGACGGGUGGAUUGUACUCGUCUUCUCCCAUGACAAUAACCUUCAAAUCAUCUGGAGCUGAAUGUAUUUUGGUUGUAGGGGCAUGGUUCUAAAUAGGAGCUGAUAGGUGACUGCGGCCAUUGACAUCAGAUCCGGUGUCGUAGAGUGUCUUCUGAAAAGAAUAUCCGUUGAUUGUGCACUCGAUGCUUGGAACACCAGGGUCGUCCUUCUUGAACAAGAAAGGCGACUUGAGUUGACGAUCUUGACCUCCUUGAACUGCAGUGACCAUCUUAGCUAACUCAGUCCACAUUUGCUUGUUUCUGUUCCUCCUGUUGGUCCUCUUCCUUGGUUCAUGUCGGGAUUGCUUUGAGAUUUGUGUAAUCUUGUUCUUGAAGGAAAACGUCUCCUUCCUCCCUUUGAUGUAGAAACUGAUCUUGGCAGCACUAGCAUAGAUGACAGCUCCCGAGGUGUUCAAGAAUGGCCUCCCUAGGAUAAUGGAUGCCCUUUCAUCAAUACCAGUCUCUAUCACCACGAAGUCUGCUGGGGCGUACAAGGUACCAACUUGGAUGCAGAAGUUCUUCAAUAUUCCCUUUGGGAAACUUAGUAUCUGAUCUGCAAGCUGCAAACACAUGGCUGUUUCUAAUAAAGGAUGUGUAAAGAAUUUAUCAUAGAGUACCCUGGGCGUAAUGUUGACACUGGAGCCAAAGUCGCAGAGUGCUUCUAGGAAGUCCACCAUGCCGAUGGAGAUCGGGAUGACGGGGCGUCUUGGAUCGUCUCUCUUGACCGGCAGAAGGUCAGUAAUUACUUCCACUAUGGGGUUACUCCAGUAGUUACGUCCUCAAGCAUCUCAGGGCAGUGAUUGCCUGAGUGUCCAGUCUCUCCAGUGUGUUUGUGCUCGUAGAUCUAGGUUCUUCACUUGGUGGAGUCUGGGAGUUGUAAAAGUCCUUCAUAUGCUGCUCGAAGUGUACCUGCUCAUAAAGACAAGGCAGAGAUCAAGUGCAUGGGCCCUGUUGGUGGAAAACACCAACAGAACCAAAAGUGUAUUUGCUCUUCUCUAUCCUUAAGCAUAGUGAGCAAGACACAGUUGAUGAAUAAUAAGAUCAUGAGUGUAGCAUUUAAAGCAUUUGUCAGAUCAGAUCGCUCAACCUAAUGGAA